rnacentral:rRNA from 1 species
GGGUUGUGAGGUUAAGCGACUAAGCGUACACGGUGGAUGCCCUGGCAGUCAGAGGCGAUGAAGGGCGUGCUAAUCUGCGAUAAGCGCCGGUAAGGUGAUAUGAACCGUUAUAACCGGCGAUACCCGAAUGGGGAAACCCAGUGUGACUCGUCACACUAUCAUUAACUGAAUCCAUAGGUUAAUGAGGCGAACCGGGGGAACUGAAACAUCUAAGUACCCCGAGGAAAAGAAAUCAACCGAGAUUCCCCCAGUAGCGGCGAGCGAACGGGGAGGAGCCCAGAGCCUGAAUCAGCAUGUGUGUUAGUGGAAGCGUCUGGAAAGGCGCGCGAUACAGGGUGACAGCCCCGUACACAAAAGCGCAUGUGCUGUGAGCUCGAUGAGUAGGGCGGGACACGUGGUAUCCUGUCUGAAUAUGGGGGGACCAUCCUCCAAGGCUAAAUACUCCUGACUGACCGAUAGUGAACCAGUACCGUGAGGGAAAGGCGAAAAGAACCCCGGCGAGGGGAGUGAAAAAGAACCUGAAACCGUGUACGUACAAGCAGUGGGAGCACAGGUUUACCUGUGUGACUGCGUACCUUUUGUAUAAUGGGUCAGCGACUUAUAUUCUGUAGCAAGGUUAACCGCAUAGGGGAGCCGGAGGGAAACCGAGUCUUAAUUGGGCGUUAAGUUGCAGGGUAUAGACCCGAAACCCGGUGAUCUAGCCAUGGGCAGGUUGAAGGUUGGGUAACACUAACUGGAGGACCGAACCGACUAAUGUUGAAAAAUUAGCGGAUGACCUGUGGCUGGGGGUGAAAGGCCAAUCAAACCGGGAGA